UGUGUGUGUUUGGUAGGGUUACUAGGAGCCUGGGAAGCUUUCGGUGUGAGUUGCUUCUUUGUCAGUUCCUGUUCAGAAGCAUAAGUCCCCACUGGAAAUGGUCUUGGGAAAUCCCAGGUUUUCAUGGAGGGAAGGAAGGCCAUCAACCCUCCCUGCAGGUGGACAGAGCAGAAGAGGGAACUCUCCAGAAAAAAGAUGGACCAAAUACACAAAAAGAGAACUGAAAGAUGGAGAGAACAUAUUUCCUCUGAGUUUCUGAAGUUUUUCAAGGGCAGAAAAGCAACAUGGUGUGGAGGAAAAGGCAUUCAACUGGGAGUUUUGAAGAACGAAAUCCUAGACCUACUCCUGCCACUAGCUUUGCUCUGUAAUGCUGAGUCAAUCAUGAG